CCAUUAUGUAAAUCACAAAAUUCAAGAUGUUUUAAAUUUAAUUUUAUACAUAGUUCUUUGUAAUUAGAAUGAUUUUUUUAAUAGGCCUAUAUCUAAUAACAUCCAUGUCUAAACAAUAGUUUAAAAUGCAGUUUGGUGUGUGUAAAUAGUUUUAUGUGCUUAACAUGCUCUUAUAAUAAGGGUUAGUGUUAGUUAUAACGAUAAUAACAGAGGCAGUUUGAGCAGACACAUUUUGAUUAAACGUAACUUGUAAUCAUUCAUUUAGAAAUGAUAAAUAUGAUUAAUCAUAUUUCCUCAGAGAUGAUGAGAUGGAGAUAUAUAUAAGGGUUUAUGAUUAAUUACUUUAAAAAGUCAGCUGUCAGUCUCAAAUCCUCUUUCAGUGUAAAGGAGGAAUGUUUCUCUCUCUUCCACUCAGUCCAACAGAGGUCGUCGUGUUGGAGGCUAAAAGGGGAAGUAAAACUGAUAUCACUUCCUUUUCUCCUCUCUGCCUAUAAUAAGAUUAAUACAACAACGCUGUGGUCAGCUCAAAGUUUUCACACCUUCUCCUCUGAGGCUGAUCACUAACAGGACACAUUUCAGGCUGUUCAGUGUAGGAUGUUCAGGUAGAAAAGCUGCUGACUGGAUCAACAGAGGCGGAACACUGAGGAGACAUGGAAGCUGUGGUUGGACUGUUGCUGAUGCUACUCGGAGUCUCUCAUGGUGUGGAAACCUACUGUGAUGGCCGACAGGAUGGAGCUCAGUGUUAUGGAGCUUUGGGAGGAACUGUGGUCCUCCAGCUGAUGGACAAUACCUCAGGAAUAUCUAGAUACCAAUGGUCAAUCAAAACAACAAUCAAUGCAAAUACAACAACAAUAACAACAAUACUCAGCGGGAGCAAUAAUCCUUUUGUGUUUAAUGCGAUAGAAAACAGAUCCUUCUUUACUCCCAGUAAUGGAACAUUUAGGAUCAACAACCUGAGCUGGACUGAUGGAGGUGAAUAUAAACUUGAAAUCUUUGGUUCAGAUGGAUUGGUAUCAGAGCAGCGGACUCUACAGUUGACCAUUCAAGCUCCUGUGUCCUCUGUCCUGCUGGUCUCUGAGUGUCUGUCCCAGGGAGAGAUGAGGGUGUCCUGCUCCUCUAAGGGAGGGGACAGUCCUCAGUACAGCUGGACUCUGGAUGGACGCACACUGACAGACGCUGAGCUCCUCUCUGGAAAUACUGAGACUGACAGCAUCACUCUGAAACAAAACGUCUCAGGACGACUGGUCUGCUCAGUCAGGAAUCAAGUCAGUAAUGUCUCAGAAGAAAAGACAUUAUCUACAUGUGGCUUCAUAUUCAUUAAUUGCACCUUAAAAGACGGGACGAACAUAUCACAGUGGGUGUUUCCAGCCAAUAAUACCCUGUGUGUUCCACCAACAACAGCUCCUACCACGAGUACAUACACCUCCACCGUGGGGUACUUGCCGAUAAUGGCCGGUGUACUGUCUGCGUUGGUAAUUCUGUUAGUGGUCGGGGUGGCUGUCGUCUGUGCUCAGAAGAAAAAGCAAAACAACAAACCUAAAGAAGAAGAAGACCAUGAACUAACCUAUGCUGAUGUCAGGUUUGCGCAGCGGCCAGGGAGGCAGGUGCAGCAAAGGGCAAAGACGGAGGUGGAGGUGGAGUACGGCCAGGUCAAGUUUUCAGAGCGACCUCAGCAGACUGUUGAACCAGCAGGAGAUGAAUGUGUGUACGCCAAGGUCCGUAGAGACAGGUGAUUCACGGCGUUUAGUGUUUUACAAAGACUGUACCACUGAAGACAGAGAGACGAGGUGUUUGUGAAGAUGCCCAAAGCUCUUUCACCUUCAUUUAAUGUGAUGUUCAAAAGGACAAAAUAUAGAUGAAUAUUAUUAUUUACCACUUUAUCUUCUGGGAUGAGCGAGCUUCAAAGUAUCAUCAUCAUCAUUUGAAUUACACUGUGACUACAUAGACUAGAAUAUAUCAUCAAAACACAUAUUUUUAAAGUAUUUCCAUAAUUGUUACACUCUCUCUUUGUAUUUACAUUAUGUUCUACUUCUCUGUUUUUACUCGUUUUUAAUUUAUGAGCAUAUUUACUUUUAUUUCAUUGUUAAAACACUGUACAUUUGCCAAAGGCUAACAUUUUAAGAAUAAUGUUAAUGUAACAAUGUAUUUGGUUUUAUUACUCCACAAUGAUUGGCAGACGUGGACACUCUAAAGCACUCUGACAAGCUGUCAUCUGUACGUUUAUGUUCUGUGUUUUAACUUCAUAUCAAAGGGAUAAAGUAGGUCUUUUCUUAGAUUAAUAUAUAUUUAUUAAACAGAUAUGGAUGGAUUAGUUGAGGGUCAGAGUUUCUCAAAUACAAUAGUAUGCUCCUGUGUUGGUAGUGUAGAGAUUUCUUAAAGGUUCUAUGUGGUGUGGAAGUUAAUCUCACAUCGACAGUAAGAUAAGUUUGUAGAGAAAUGUCUUGUGUCUCAGGAAGUUCGCAGUAACAGUAACCACAUAUUUUUUUCCAUAACGUAAACACUUCUGCUUUUUCUUAGGCAUGUGCUUUCAUUCUUUCAAAAUUGGUUUAUCAGUUGCAAGGGGUGAUUUUAAGACCUUACAUCAACCCUGUGUCAGUUAAUGGUGAAAUAUCCCUGUAAUGUAAGAAUAAAUAUGAGUGGCUUGUGUACUUUUAUUCAUACUCUAAGAUAAAAGUUAGUGGGGGGGGGGAUUUGUCUAUUUUAGUAGAUCCAGACAUAGAUAAUAGUAAAUUAUAUCUCAGGAUUGCCUGCAACAGUAGGCUACAUGCAGGUUGCUUAGUGUUUCUUAAUACAGUGAGUUAGCAGUAAAAGGAGAACACCUUCUAAAUGAGGGUGUUUUAGGGAGAAAAUUAACUACGUGUCAGAUUAUCUUUUAGCACCAUCAGGUUUUUUCUAUAUUUAGUUUGACACGUUUCCUCUCUUAGUCGCUUCCAGUUUUAAAGCUUUCACAAGUGUAAUAUAGAUACCUGUAGUAAAACCUUAAACCUUGUGAUGAUUUAAUAAUUGUAAUAAUUCAGGGUUUGAGUAAUUUUAGGGCUCUGACUUUCAAGUCUGGAGAAGAAACCAUUCUACAUUGUGGAUAUCUAUGCUCCCUGUUUAUGGGUAAAUAGAAAGUCGGUUGAACACAGUGCUGACUUGUGAUGUUUCAUGAUCUAAUGUUAACCAGUUAGUCAACUAUCAAAAAGGUUUAUAAUUAAAAACCAAACAUGGCCAUUUGUCUGGAAUUAAAUUGAACUGCAUGCAACUGAGGACCUAAACAGACAAUAAUGCUAAAGAAAAUGUAAGUUCUUAGGUAUUGGCUCUGACCCUACUCUGACUUGGAAAUGAUCAGUGUAUUCUGACCACAGACAUCAUACAGUGCCCAUCAUAUUCCUGUAAGCUGCUCUAUUAAAUAAUCUAAAUAUCCCUGACACUUUGGUUUUCCUGCCUCUUCUCAAAGACCCAAUCUUUUCUAAGUUAACCAUUGUGCAGCUUACAUGCUCCAGCCCAUAGGAGGAAGUGCUCGACUGCACAAGACGUAAUAAUAAAUGGCGAGGGGAGAAACAAAUAGUUCAAUACUGGAAGGCAUCAGCUAGAAUAAGGUCUGUUGGAUUAAGUUAAUGUUUGUUUAAACCUUUGCUUUUCUGAGUUGACUUCAUAACUCUUAGACAUUGGAUAAUUUGCAAAGCAACUCAUAAUGGACAUUUUGGAGUAAUAACUUUUCAUAUUAUCAAAGCUGCUAUUGCAUGUGCUACAGUCUUUUGGUAUAGACUGGGUCAGGAAGUGUACGGUCAAACCUUUGAUCCUCAGGAAGAGCACCCUUCUUGUCUCAGCUCAGUAUCUCCCUCUGAAACUCUUCAAUGAUGUAUGUUGAAGUAGCCUGACACAGUUUAUUUUACUGUUGCUUGAGUUCUAUUUUUUUGUGUUUUGUAACUUCUGUUUCCUAAAAAAAAUCAUCAAUUGUCAUUAUAUGUAAGUUUUGGUUUUAUAGGUAAAGUGACAGCAUGUAAGUUGUUUAUUUGCUGUGUAUUUAAUCAAAGACAGAGGUUACAUGCUUGGUUUGGUUUGAUAUCUUGAGGUUAAAGAUCCACCAAUACCAUUCAGCUGAUGCACAGCUAUAAAUAUGUGUUUAUGGUUCAUGAUAGUUGUAAAACAAACAACCAUUUUGUUAGUUGAACCCUCUUGUUGAAACACAGUUGACCUUCUGACUGACAUAAUCUACUGAGCAAAUAAUUAACAACACAGGAGAAGUGUAAUAAAACUGCUCCAACAAUCCAGUAUCCUUUUUGCCAUUUCAGUCAGUCAAUACUACUUUGAUCAUUUUAAUAAUUGUAUAAGUAUUAAAUUGUUUAGUAUUGUUGCAGCUAAAAUGUGUAACAUGGGGAAUCAUGUGGCACCUUAGCUCUUGACAGGUAUUUUUUUUCCUUAUAAAAAGCAGGUGAUAUUGUCAUUGUCUGUGUCAUGUGAUGUUAUACUGCCAUGCCAAAUGUAUUUAUUUAUAAAACCAAGACUGGUGCCAAUUCUUCAAUCCUGGGCACGUCAGUUUUUGACUGAAUAUAUAAUUUGGGGUUACUUAUAAUUUAAUUUAAAGAAUGUGUCAGCAACUAUUUGUAAAUAAGUAAAUUUAAAGUAAAGUUUGAUUAUUCAG
rnacentral:lncRNA from 1 species